GACCUAGUGGCGAAGGUGGUAUCGCGUCUGCAGUCCGUGUAUGGUAUAGUAUACACAUGUAGGAAUCUCUGGUUCGAACCCAGGUUAGGUCA